rnacentral:tRNA from 2 species
CGCGGGGUAGAGCAGUUUGGUAGCUCGUCAGGCUCAUAACCUGAAGGUCGCAGGUUCAAAUCCUGCCCCCGCAACCA